UUUAUGUUGCAUUAUUUAAUUAGAAACAGCUGUUUGAAGUUUACUGAAAAGCUAAUAAGCCUGAAGUUUUGGGAGACACUUAGAAUACAUUGAUUAGUUAUGAGAAGCUAGGAAAUUGCUGUUUUAGUAUCCAUGAUUUUAACAUUUUGCUUAUUUUGCAGGACCUUUAAUUACGCAACACAACGUCUCACAGUAUUAUAAAAUUAUCCUAAGAUUACAAAGUUGUUUACUUUUAAAGGACAAUUAAAACUUUAUACAGUUGAUGAUUAUAGCGUCUCUCUUAAGAAAAUUGUGGAUUCAGUAAGAUAUGGAAGAGAUCUCAUGGCUCUGAGAGCCAGAGUGAGAUAGUUAGCACAAGCAACCUCCGAAGUUGCAGCUUCAUAUUUACCCAGAGUAAGACUGUACUAUAGAAAAUAUUAUCCUGAAAUAUACAUACUAUUUUCUUGUACUGAAAAGGACAAAUAAUUCAAAAGUUUUAGAUAAUUAAAUUAAGGAAAGAUGACUUAUCGAAAGACUUCAGGGUCUGUGUAGCUCCCUCUACACUUCCAUUUAAUUGCGUUUUCCUUUACUUCCUGAAAUUGUUUUAAUUCCUUGGAUAGCCUUGGAUACCCUAGUAUAUCUGGAGUUAGGGUAAUUAAUCCCUUUACUUGAAUGACGCAGAGAGGUUUAGACAAAUAUAGAUAAAGUGGAAAACUUGUUUUAAAUAUCUUUUCAAUAAUAAAUAAUUAAAUGUCUGUUAAAGUAAAUUUUGAGGCCAACACACUUAUUGCUGUCUUCAACAGCCUCUCUCUCAGUCUCCUGAAUCUUAAUGCUGCUUUCAUCAUUUUGCAUGUAAUCUGACUAAAGACUCAAAAGUUUGCACGGAAACACCUUUCAACAGAUGCAAUGACCUUUUACUCUGCCUAGAAUAGUGAAUCUCAAAGCAUGACCAACUUAUCACCUGCUUCAGGAUGUUUGUUUAAAUUCCUUGAAGAAAGAUGCAGAAAUCUGUACUUAUGGAAUCUUUUAGGGUACCAAAGACUUGAACUUAAAACCAUAGCCUGGAUCUUUCUCUUUGUCAAUCUUGAUGAUCACAAAUAUUCAUGAAUCCUCACGUCACAAGAAAAAAAAGUUUUGAAUUGUUCUCAUCACCUUGAUGCUUAUAUUUAUGGUGUUUGAAGUUACCACUUCAUAUAAAUGUGCCAUGGGAAAUUAUUAUCAUUCUUUA
rnacentral:lncRNA from 1 species